rnacentral:lncRNA from 1 species
AUGAAAUAAAAAGUUGGAAGUAUAUAAACUACAACUAGGUUUUAAAGAAAUAUUGCCGAACAUACAUGUGCACGUCUCAAAGUGCAGCACAUACACGCGGACAUACGUGUGGACGUCUCAAAGUCCAGCACAUACACGGGAUGUAAGCGUUACAUGUCCUAAUAGGAAGGAAAGAAGGGAGAGAAAAAAAGCACGUACUACAUGCUAUAAGCAAUUAAAAAAGCAAUUAAUGUUGAAAAUUCCCAAAAAGAAAUAUAGGACAAGGUCACAAUCAGAUUUCCAGACAUCUCGGCCACCUCAAACCCAGCCACCUCAACCCAUAUAAGCAAGUACAACCAGUCGCACAAUGACACACCAAUUAAUUUGAAGUCGACAACCACCACGAGGUGAACAUAUUGAAGUCGACAGAGCUACCAUGAAAAUCCAUGCCCAGCCGCUUCACUCGACGUCCAACGAAGUCAUGCCAAAGCACGCCCGACGCCCGACAAAGCCACGCCCAAUUGCUCCAGUCAACGUUGGAAGAACUCACUCCAAAGCACUUCUCGCCUGAAUCAUCAGAUUUGGUGAUUGUUAUUUAGCAAGCUUACUUUUUCUGCCUAGAAUCUUCAUAAAUCCUGUAUUAGUUACAUAUUGUUUUCUAUUAAUUUUGAGGACAUAACACUAUCACAUACAAGAAGUUCAGCGACUUAACUAUGAGGGGACAUAACUAGAACAUUCAAGUGAACGCAAUGAGUGUGGGAUUCAGUCAAUCCUACGACCCAUGAGCUAACUAGCCUAGAUAUGAUACUGAUGGAUGAGCAGGUCUGUUUCUAUAUAUUUAAUUGCAGUUUUUUCAAGUUAAGAUGCAGUUACUAACCAUAUUUGAUUGUUUUGACAGGGUGAAACAAUCCAUGUUACUAUUUGGAAGAAUCUAAUAGACAUGUUUAGAUCAAAGAUCAAUAAGAAAUCUAUUUAUGCAUUCAACAAUGUUGAGUUGGAAUUACAAAAUAUAGGCCAGUGAGAAAAUGAAAUUAAAAUAUUUUUUGCAUACAAUACACAGGUAAAAGAUAAAAGGAUCUUUGAAAGUUUUUCCGAAUUAUUGCCGCGAGUUUGCUACCAUGGACACACUACAAGAUAGAACAGAAAAAGAUACACAAUGCUCAGGUAUGUUGAUAGUUGUAAUUACGACUUCCAUAUAAUUGAUAUAUCUAAUUGUUAUAUCAAUAAUCUCCAAAUAUACAUGUCAUUGGACAACUAACAAAAUGAAGCCCAUGGAGAGAAGAAUAACUUGCUUUAUACAUCUACAUCUAACUUGCUGAACUCACUAGAUGGGAAAUCAUAAGAAGCACCAAAGAUUACUAAAAAAUUAUGUGGAAAAAACUUAUAUUUUGAUUCAAUUUCAAUGAUAUAAUCUGACCUGUCGCAAACAAAACUAUGCAGUAAAAAGAACAUUUUUGCCUGAUGAUGGCCUUGAGAUGCUCUACUUGAACGAUAAAGCCGAGGGGGUAAAGGUGCAUUAACCUUUUUUGAAAAAUAUGAAGUACCAUCUCUAGAAUUCCUUAACUAACUCAUCUUACAUAUGUUGCACAGGAAUUGAUGGAUCAUGAGGUGGACACCAUGUUAAUGAAGAAGCAGAACAUGCCAGAUAAAGAGGUGAUUGGUUUUUUAACUAUACACACUUCAGAGAUGUGUCUAAUUUUUAAAAAUUAUAAGUAUGCAGUCACAGAAUAAUAAAGUUUCACCUGGCAAACUGUCAUGUGAACUAAUGCGUGUGAAAGAGAAACCACAUUGACAGCAAUUGGAGUACAUUAAACAAAGAUGGGCGUCAAGACAAAAUAUCAGCAGCAGCAGCAGCACAUGAGCCCCACAGUGGCAUAAAAGGAGACUUGAGAUCUGUUGUGAUAUCAGAUGACCAGAGGAUGAAUGAACUGAGACGAAUUCGCCAGAACAAUAGGAAAAAGGUGUCUGCCGGAACAAGAGAUGUGUUAAAGCAAAAGUGAAAAAUACAAUGCUUGAAGAUGAAGAUUAAGUAAAUAGUACGACAAACUAUUUGUAUCGACCAAGGUAAGUAAGAGUACCUGACAUCAACCAGAAUAAGGAUACUUAUUAGAUUAAGCGUGUGAAUGUUAAAAAUAUUCUUAGUCCAAACAGAUUGAAAACGUUGUUCAUGUAGUUUCCUUUAUGUACAUGCUAUUUUAUCCGAAUUUGUACGAGCCCAACACAAUAUACGAGAACAUACUACAAGACCAAAGUUUGAGACAUUAGGAUUCACUUCACAAUUUGAAGAAACUAUACUUUGGCAAAUCUAUUUGACGCCACCACAAUAGACAGGAACAUACCUUGCUUCAGUAACUUAAUAGCAGAACCAGAUAUAAGCAAAUCAACGGCCUCUCUGUUUUUUGCAUACCGCUAGCUUUGCUCAGUG